rnacentral:rRNA from 1 species
GCGGCGUGCCUAACACAUGCAAGUCGAACGGAGAAUAUACGCUCAGAAGCUUCGGCAGAUGAUUGUAUAUUCUUAGUGGCGGACGGGUGAGUAACGCGUGGACAACCUGCCUCAUACUGGGGGAUAACAGCUGGAAACGACUGUUAAUACCGCAUAAGCGCACAGUGUCGCAUGACACAGUGUGAAAAAACUCCGGUGGUAUGAGAUGGGCCCGCGUCAGAUUAGCCAGUUGGCGGGGUAACGGCCCACCAAAGCGACGAUCUGUAGCCGGCCUGAGAGGGCGGACGGCCACAUUGGGACUGAGACACGGCCCAAACUCCUACGGGAGGCAGCAGUGGGGGAUAUUGCACAAUGGAGGAAACUCUGAUGCAGCGACGCCGCGUGAAGUGAAGAAGUAUUUCGGUAUGUAAAGCUCUAUCAGCAGGGAAGAAAGGCUCGUAAGAGAGAUGACGGUACCUGACUAAGAAGCCCCGGCUAACUACGUGCCAGCCGCAGC